AGAGGUCACUCCUAGUUGUGUUGC
rnacentral:siRNA from 1 species